rnacentral:rRNA from 1 species
GAUGAACGCUGGCGGCGUGCCUAAUACAUGCAAGUCGAGCGAACGGCCGGGAAGCUUGCUUCUCUGAUGUUAGUGGCGGACGGGUGAGUAACACGUGGAUAACCUACCUCUAACUCUGGGAUAACCUCGGGAAACCGCAGCUAAUACCGGAUACUAUUUUGAACCGCAUGGUUCACAAGUGAAAGAAGGUUUUGCUGUCACUUAUCUCUCGAUCCGCGCUGCAUUAGCUAGUUGGUAAGGUAACGGCUUACACAGGCAACGAUGCAUCGCCGACCUGAGAGGGGGGUCGGCGACACGGGAACUGAGACACGGUCCAGACGCCUACGAGAGGCAGCAGUAGGGAAUCUGCCGCAAUGGGCGAGAGCCUGACGGAGCGACGCCACGUGAGUGAUGAAAGUCUUGUGUUCGUAAAGCUCUCUUAUUAGUUGAGAACAUAUGUGUGAGGAGCUGAACACAACGUGACGGUACCUAAACAGAAAGCCACGGCUAACUACGUG